AGCUUUCUGAGAACAAAGCAGUGGAAUUUUCCGAGGUGUCAAAUUCUAAAGAAUAGAAUUUUGUCAUCCAUUCUCCUCCUCAGAUAAAUGUUAAAAUGGAAACUCUACCUAGCACUCUGCUGGAAUUCACAACAUAGUAGCUGGAAACUUGUUGCCCAAGCUGCCAUCUUCAUCUGGCCAUGUAGGAGUCAUAUGAGAAUAAGACCUCACACAGAGGGCAGCAGGGAUGAAAAAGAGAAGAAACCAGGCCCUAGCAAUUUUAUUUACAUCCUGAUCAAACCUUUCCUGAUUUCAAUCCUAACUCUGGACUUUUCAGGCCGGUUCGGGCGCUUGGCUUUCGUCACACGCUGACAGGUUUUUGUUUAUCUUAUGUGAGAAAUGGACAAAAGGAAACAGAAAACAGAUGAAUAGGCAAAAGUAUGAAUAAACAACUCCAGCAGCUGAGUACCAGAUGGCUUCAGGGCCUUCAUGAGGACACAAAUUGAUUUCCCGAGAUUUCUGGAAGGAGAUUCUUAAUGUUUUUCUCAAGCAACAGUUAUGGUGAUAGAAUAAAAAUGAUCUCAUCAUUGA